UUUCCGUAGGUGAACCUGCGGAA
rnacentral:ncRNA from 12 species